UAGGGAAUCUUCCACAAUGGACGCAAGUCUGAUGGAGCAACGGCCGCGUGAGUGAAGAAGGUUUUCGGAUCGUAAAGCUCUGUUGUUGGUGAAGAAGGAUAGAGGUAGUAACUGGCCUUUAUUUGACGGUAAUCAACCAGAAAGUCACGGCUAACUACGUGCCAGCAGCCGCGGUAAUACGUAGGUGGCAAGCGUUGUCCGGAUUUAUUGGGCGUAAAGCGGGCGCAGGCGGAAGAAUAAGUCUGAUGUGAAAGCCCUCGGCUUAACCGAGGAAUUGCAUCGGAAACUGUUUUUCUUGAGUGCAGAAGAGGAGAGUGGAACUCCAU
rnacentral:rRNA from 1 species